rnacentral:rRNA from 1 species
GGACCAUCAUGUCGGUCGUGCCUCGGUAGGUACUGGCAUUGUUGGUUUCUCCCUUCUGACGGACCAUGAUGUCAUUUAUUUGGCGGUGUGGGGAAUCAGGAGUGUUACUUUGAAAAAAUUAGAGUGUUUAAAGCAGGCUCACGCUUGAAUACAUUAGCAUGGAAUAAUGAAAUAGGACGUUUGAUUCUAUUUUGUUGGUUUCUAGGAUUGACGUA